rnacentral:lncRNA from 1 species
UGUUCUUGUGGACAUAACUUAAAUAAGUGUGUGUGUUUUUCUCAUAAUAAAGCGUGGGAUCUUAAUAUAUUAUUCAAGUUUACGAAAAGGAUGUCAGCUGCACAAUGGUAAGUAUAGAUUUGAAAUUUAUUCUUAUAUUCUUUCGUUAAAAUCCAUUGAAUCGUUAUUGAUAACAAAACAUAACAGUUAAGGUUUAUGUACCCUUCUGUAGCCAUUUUUGUACGAAUUUUUCAAACCUCAUUGUAUCAAACUAAAGAUUAAUAAAUAAUAGAGAUAGGCCAUAGUACAUUUCCAAGGAAACUUGGAGCAUUAUUUUUUACUGUUUCAUGGCAGUAGAAAAAGAGGACUUUGUGGCAAAUAAAUCAAGAUUUUUAUAGAAAUCCACAGCCUUUAAUACAGAGAUUUUUUAUAAAAUUUGAAACUAAAUUACUCACUUGAUUUUCCUAUGAUGUGCUAGUGUUUUAUUUUACAAAAAAGUCUAAGUAGUAAAUUCAAAAACACCUCGUGCUGAGUCACUAAUCGAGCGCACCCUAAAAGGUUACUGAUUUGGCCAUAUUUAUACUUGUCUUAAAAUAACUACAUUUAUAAAACUUGUUUUUAGGAAAUCAAUGCUAGCAUGCAUGCAAUAUCUAUAUCUAUCAGAUAAAUUGCAAAUAGAGAGUACAAGGAUAAAGGCUGUUGAUUUUCUAUAAAAAUCUGUUUUUUGCCACAAAGUCCUCUUUUUCUAUUAAAUGCAAUGGAACAGUAAAAAUAAUGCUUUGCAAAUUUCCCCUUGAAUAUGUAAAAAUGGCUAUCUCUAUUAUUCAUUAUAUCUGUUUUUGAUAAAAUUGAAGUUUGAAAAGUUCGUACAAAAAUGGCUACAGAAGGGUACAUAAACCUUAAGGUUCAUGUGGACCCUAUGGCUAAAAUGGCCGUAUUUUCACCUCAAAAUUUUCUGAGUACAGACAAAUC